GUAAUAAUAGAGAAGGUGCCAGAAAGAUCCAAAACAAGUGGCUGCGGCCGUCGCCCAGGAGUCAUCGGACGCCAGAAUCUGUGUCUCCAGAACGCUAUAGCUAUGGCACCUCCAGCUCUUCAAAGAGGACAGAGGGUAGCUGCCGUCGCCGUCGGCAGUCAAGCAGUUCUGCAAAUUCUCAGCAGGGUCAGUGGGAGACAGGCUCCCCCCCAACCAAGCGGCAGCGGCGGAGUCGGGGCCGGCCCAGUGGUGGUGCCAGACGGCGGCGGAGAGGGGCCCCAGCCGCACCCCAGCAGCAGUCAGAGCCCGCCAGACCUUCCUCUGAAGGCAAAGUGACCUGUGAUGGGGAAACAGGCUCAGAGAGGUAAGGUCACAUGCCCAAGGCCCCACAGCUUAGAGAGUGGCAGAGCUGGGACUCACCUCAAGACAUCCGGCUCCGGGUUCGAGCAGAGUACUGCGAGCA
rnacentral:lncRNA from 10 species